CAAUCGUCAACCGAGUGAUCUUUAACUUGCGAUGAUGAUUUUAUGUCUUCAAAUCACUAGUUAAGUUCAAACGAAGUAGAAAUCUUACAACUUUAAUCUCCAGAACACAAGCAAUACAGAUUCCGAAAGGAUUAUUCCUUAAGAUUGUUAUUUUCAAUGUUUUCGGGUACAGGAACUGUAUAUAGGCAGCAACAACUUCAACACAAGUUCAAGUCUAAGACAAGAACACUUAUGAAGU
rnacentral:lncRNA from 1 species